GAGAGGGGCUGCUCCUAGUACGAGGGGACCGGAGUGGACGAGCCUCUGGUGUUCCGGUUGUCACGCCAGUUGCAUUGCCGGGUAGCUAUGUUCGGAAGAGAUAACCGCUGAAAGCAUCUAAGCGGGAAACUUGCCUCAAGAUGAGAUCUCACUGGGAUCUUGAAUCCCCUAAAGGGCCGUCGAAGACUACGACGUUGAUAGGUUGGGUGUGUAAGCGCUGUGAGGCGUUGAGCUAACCAAUACUAAUUGCCCGUGAGGCUUGACCAUAUAACACCCAAGCAAUU
rnacentral:rRNA from 1 species